ensembl:lncRNA
AGAGCACAGGGCUCCCCCUGCUCGCACAAGAGGAUUAAGAGUCUAAAGGGCGUAGCUUUGGUUCCAGCGUUGGGGGGGACGCAGUGAGCUCACAUAGUGCACAGAGAGCAGCAAAAAACAUGUCAAGGAAUUUCAGCGCAAAUUGAGUAUUUGAGGAACAAUUCACUUCCUAUCAACAAGUCGGAGGAUUUGUGAGCGGUACAGUUGGACCCCCAGCCGCUGGACCCCCCCUGGAGCCGCACCCCGUUGCACCAUGGGCCCACCCCCAGUCUGGAGGGAGGAACGGAAUAUAGAAGACGGCUUGACCGUGAGGUUUCUGCUGUGGGCUGCGAUGGCUCUUCUCUUCCUAUGGCUUGGCAGUGCACAGACAGCAUCCGCACCUCCAUGCGAGGCAUCUCCAGGAACAGCCUUGCCCCUCCUCCUGGCUCCUCUGUCCCUCUACUCGUGGCUGACCUCUGCUCUUGCCCAGCUCCUCCUGGCCGCCCCGGCGCUGGUCCUGACGGCCCUCCACCAGAGCCUCCUGCUGCUGCUGGCGGGCCCCUGGGCUCUGCUCUGCUUCUGGGGGGCCCUGGCCCUCGGCUGCCUCCAGGUGUUGGUCUACCUGCUCCAUCUGACCUUAGCCCUGGCCCUGGGGGUGGUGGUGUCGUUGACCAUAAGGACCAAAUGGAAAGGCAGAGCGGUGGCCGACAAGGAGCUCCAGAAGACGGCCCCACCGGGGGACUGAGACCCUGAGAUCAGAGCGAUCAGGCAACAGAGAGGCUAAUGGGAAGUAGCGCUGUGAUUGAUGUUGUUGAUGCCUCUUGUUAUACUGCCCCUAUGGAUGUAGACGUUGGAGCACACAGGUCUGAGGGGAGCCCGGGCCUAGCCACGUCUUUUUAAUGAACACAUAGUGUGGUCGGGGCUGAACAUAAGAACGCCUCAUGUAAAUGUGCUCUUGUGGUGAAAGCUGACACUAUGUAACAAUGCUUUCAUUAGCCUGCGUUCCUGCCAGCCUAACUUAGUCUGUAUAUGGGGUUUUCUCUCACUCUCACUCUAGCUCUCUCUCUGUCUCUCUCUCUCUCUCUCUCUCUCUCUCUCUCUCUCUCCCUCUCUCCCUCUCUCCGUCAACCUCUGGAUCUGCGCUCGCCAAUUAUCUGUGGAUUGCUGCGCUGUUUUCCGCUUUUCAUCUACAAAUUUUAUCAUUAGACAUGUCUGUCAUCAGAGCACUGGGGGAGGACGGGGAAUAAAGGACUGUUUUUCUGCAUGCGUUGCCGUGGCUUAAUGUUGCUGCGCUGUACAUGUAGAAUAUCUCCAAUCAGAAUACAGACAAAGUCCCGGAGAAUGAAGUAAUUAAGAGAAAACCACAAGCAUGUGGUUGCUGUGUUUCCUGUUUUGUUUUUUUUAGCCCCGUGUAAUGCAUGUGUAAACACAGUUACAUUAAACAUAACUAGUUCUAUCACCGUUGUAGGAGGGAGAUGAAACAAAGGACCUGCUAGAAAUUCUAUCUAUGUGGUAACGAAAAACUGUUGAAACUAUUGUUUUGUAACCUUUGAGUCUGAC